rnacentral:rRNA from 1 species
CCUACGGGGGGCAGCAGUGGGGGAUAUUGCACAAUGGGGGGAACCCUGAUGCAGCGAAGCCGCGUGGGUGAAGAAGCGCCUCGGCGCGUACAGCCCUGUCAGCAGGGAAGAAAAUGACGGUACCUGAAGAAGAAGCCCCGGCUAACUACGUGCCAGAAGCCGCGGUAAUACGUAGGGGGCAAGCGUUAUCCGGAUUUACUGGGUGUACAGGGGGCGCAGACGGCGAUGCAAGCCAGGAGUGAAAGCCUGGGGCCCAACCCCGGGACUGCUCUGGGAACUGCGUGGCUGGAGUGGAGGAGGGGCAGGCGGAAUUGCGGGUGUAGCGGUGAAAUGCGUAGAUAUCAGGAGGAACACCGGUGGCGAGGCGGCCUGCUGGACUGCAACUGACGUUGAGGCCCGAAAGCGUGGGGAGCAAACAGGAUUAGAUACCCCAGUAGUC